rnacentral:rRNA from 1 species
AGAGUUUGAUCCUGGCUCAGAGUGAACGCUGGCGGCGUGCUUAACACAUGCAAGUCGAACGAGUAAGAGCCGUAGCAAUACGGAGUUCUGCUAGUGGCAGACGGGUGAGUAAUACAUGGGAAUCUACCUUAAAGUCCGGGAUAACUGUUGGAAACGACAGCUAAUACCAGAUAUUGCCGAGAGGUGAAAGAUUUAUUGCU